rnacentral:rRNA from 1 species
GACGAACGCUGGCGGCGUGCUUAACACAUGCAAGUCGAACGGAAAGGCCCUGCUUUUGUGGGGUGCUCGAGUGGCGAACGGGUGAGUAACACGUGAGUAACCUGCCCUUCACUUUGGGAUAACUUCAGGAAACUGGGGCUACUCCCGGAUCGGAUCUCCUGCUGCAUGGUGGGCGUUGGAAAGUUUCGGCUGGCGGGGAUGGACGCGCGGCUUAUCGGCUUGCUGGUUGGCUAGUUGCAUACCCAGCGUUUGACCGGUAGCCAGCCUGAGAGGGUGAACGGCGACAUGGGGACUGAGGGACGGCCCAGAGGCGAACGUUGGGCAGCAGGGGGGAACAUUGCCCAACGGGCGCACGCGGGAGGAAGAGGCGCCCCGGGCGGGAAGACCGCUUGCGGGGUAUAAACAGCUGUCGCUUGUGACGAAGCGGGAGUGACGGUAACGGGUGAAGAAGCACCGGCUAACUACGUG